rnacentral:rRNA from 16 species
GGAUGCGAUCAUACCAGCACUAAAGCACCGUAUCCCAUCAGAACUCCGAAGUUAAGCGUGCUUGGGCGAGAGUAGUACUAGGAUGGGUGACCUCCUGGGAAGUCCUCGUGUUGCAUUUC